rnacentral:rRNA from 1 species
AGAGUUUGAUCCUGGCUCAGGAUAAACGCUAGCGGCAGGCCUAACACAUGCAAGUCGAGGGGCAUCGGAUAGAGUACUUCGGUACUCUUGCCGGCGACCGGCGGACGGGUGCGUAACGCGUAUGCAACCUACCUUCAACAGGGGGAUAAUCCGAAGAAAUUUGGUCUAAUACCCCAUAAUAUUCCGACAGGCAUCUGUUGGAGUUAGAAAGCUUCGGUGGUUGGAGAUGGGCAUGCGUUGUAUUAGCUAGAUGGUGAGGUAACGGCUCACCAUGGCGAUGAUACAGUAGGGGGACUGAGUACGGUUUCCCCCACACUGGUACUGAGACACGGACCAGACUCCUACGGGAGGGAGCA